GACGAACGCUGGCGGCGUGCUUAACACAUGCAAGCCGAACGGUAAGGCCCUUCGGGGUACACGAGUGGCGAACGGGUGAGUAACACGUGGGUGAUCUGCCCUGCACUUCGGGAUAAGCCUGGGAAACUGGGUCUAAUACCGGAUAGGACUCCUGGCUUCAUGGUUGGGGGUGGAAAGCUUUUGCGGUGUGGGAUGGGCCCGCGGCCUAUCAGCUUGUUGGUGGGGUAAUGGCCUACCAAGGCGACGACGGGUAGCCGGCCUGAGAGGGUGACCGGUCACACUGGGACUGAGAUACGGCCCAGACUCCUACGGGAGGCAGCAGUGGGGAAUAUUGCACAAUGGGCGCAAGCCUGAUGCAGCGACGCCGCGUGAGGGAUGACGGCCUUCGGGUUGUAAACCUCUUUCAGCUAUGAAGAAGCGCAAGUGACGGUAGUAGCAGAAGAAGGACCGGCCAACUACGUGCCAGCAGCCGCCGUAA
rnacentral:rRNA from 1 species